CAAGUUCUAAAACUAGAGGUUCUAAAUGGCACAUUUAUCUGCCUAUGGCUAUGCAAAGACUUCUAGAAAACACUCAACUAAUAUAAGUAUAACAAAUAACAACUAAACCGUAUUAAUAUGUCUUAUAUUUUCUAUACGUUCUUAUCUGACCAAAUUUGCCCUCACUCCAAGAAUUGUAGGUAUUUUAACAGUGGAUCUUGCUUCCCACAGUAAAAGCAGAAAGAUACCACUGCCAUCUUAUAUCAUCAUAUUGGAUAACAGAUUCGGAGAGACUCAUGUAUUGCAAUUGAUUUAGAGCCAUACGCAUAUCUCCACCAACACGUUCUGGCAAUACCUUAAGAACAAUCUAGAAAAGACAAAGACGAAGAAAAACAAUCAUGAAACUCGGAAAGUUUGCUUAUCUAUCUAGACAACACAAAAGGGAAAGCUUUCCCUAUGUUUUGUAGUAACACCACCAAUAUUUAAGUAGGAAAGAUCUCCAUCAGAUAUGUAUUGACACAAAUACAUGUCGUGGUUUCCACCACACAACUAUUUUAGUACAUCACUUGCUUGAUUAUUUUUGAAAAAAUAACUAUUAUUUA